GAGAAUUAUUGCAAUGCUUAGUCAGGAUUUCAUUUUUGAUGGCUGUACAAUUUUGGUCCAUGGUUUCUCUAGAGUUGUUAUGGAAGUUCUGAGGUUGGCUGCACAGAAUAAGAAGCUCUUUAGAGUGUUUUGCACAGAAGGAAGACCGGACAGGACAGGUUUGCGUUUAUCCAACGAGCUAGCUAAACUUGAUGUCCCUGUAAAGCUCCUAAUUGACUCAGCAGUAGCAUAUACCAUGGAUGAGGUUGAUAUGGUUCUUGUUGGGGCUGAUGGAGUAGUUGAGAGUGGAGGUAUAAUCAAUAUGAUGGGCACGUAUCAAAUUGCAUUAGUGGCACAUAGCAUGAACAAACCGGUGUAUGUGG
rnacentral:misc_RNA from 1 species